rnacentral:rRNA from 1 species
UACAGAGGUCCCGAGCGUUGUUCGGAUUCAUUGGGCGUAAAGGGUGCGUAGGCGGCGAGGCAAGUCUGGUGUGAAAUCCCGGGGCUCAACCCCGGAACUGCACUGGAUACUGCCUUGCUAGAGUACUGGAGAGGGAACUGGAAUUUACGGUGUAGCAGUGAAAUGCGUAGAUAUCGUAAGGAAGACCAGUGGCGAAGGCGAGUUCCUGGACAGUUACUGACGCUGAGGCACGAAGGCCAGGGGAGCAAACGGG